CAGCCGCCGCGGUAAUACAGAGGGUGCGAGCGUUAAUCGGAUUUACUGGGCGUAAAGCGUGCGUAGGCGGCUUCUUAAGUCGGAUGUGAAAUCCCUGAGCUUAACUUAGGAAUUGCAUUCGAUACUGGGAAGCUAGAGUAUGGUAGAGGAUGGUAGAAUUCCAGGUGUAGCGGUGAAAUGCGUAGAGAUCUGGAGGAAUACCGAUGGCGAAGGCAGCCAUCUGGCCUAAUACUGACGCUGAGGUACGAAAGCAUGGGGAGCAAACAGGAUUAGAUACCCAGUAGUCCCUGUCUCUUAUACA
rnacentral:rRNA from 1 species